CCUACGGGUGGCAGCAGUGAGGAAUAUUGGUCAAUGGACGCAAGUCUGAACCAGCCAAGUCGCGUGAAGGAUGACGGCCCUAUGAGUUGUAAACUGCUUUUGUACGAGAGUAAACUCCGGUACGUGUACCGGGUUGAAUGUACUUUAUGAAUAAGGAUCGGCUAACUCCGUGCCAGCAGCCGCGGUAAUACGGAGGAUCCGAGCGUUAUCCGGAUUUAUUGGGUUUAAAGGGUGCGUAGGUGGGUUGGUAAGUUAGUUGUGAAAGUUUGCGGCUCAACCCCAAAACUGCAGUUGAUACUGGUAGACUUGAGUAUAGUUGAGGUAGGCGGAAUGCGUGGUGUAGCGGUGAAAUGCUUAGAUAUCACAAAGAACACCGAUUGCGAAGGCAGCCUACUAAACUGUCACUGACAUUGAGGCACGAAAGCGUGGGUAGCAAACAGGAUUAGAUACCCGAGUAGUC
rnacentral:rRNA from 1 species